ACACGAGAGGGAAGUGAGUGGCUGCCUCGUGGGAAAGUCCAGGUGUAGGCUCAGGAGGGUGUGAUGCUCUGCUGGGUCAGGCACCCAGGGGUGACGUCGUGGCCUCACUCAGGGCAGGGUCUCAGCCUCGGCUCAAGGUGGUGGCCGCUGCAUUCCAGGCUGCAGGAUGGAGAAUGACAAAGGGCACGCUCCAAUGAUCUCAUAGAGAAGAUUUCUGGAAGCUGCUCUAUUUCCACUUAUAUCUCAAUGGCCAGACCUUGGACACACCUAGCUGCAAAGGGUCCUGGAAAGGUCAUCUUUCUUCCGGUAGACAGGCUCAUAUUCCUCAAGAGUGGAGCCAGACACUAAAGACUAGGACGUUCAAACCGUUGCACACCAGGGAAAUUAGGAAGUGACUGUGUGUGCCCAGGGAAAGGCAGCGACUCAGAAAACACCUGAGAAAACCUCAAGCUGACAAGCUGACGCCUCGGGCCCAUCCUCAGCACAGCCUGCGACAAUCAAAACCACAGAAACACGACACGAGACAGCAAACCCCACGGAGGGGAGGAUCUGAUUUCCAGAGUUACCACCUCGUUAGCUUCAAGGGUCCAGAUUUCAACUAAAAAUCACAAGGCACACAAAGAAACAGGAAAUAUGGCCUGUUGCAAGGAAAAGCUAACUCAACAGAGCUGUCCCUGAAAACGGCCGGAUGGCAGACCUACCAGACCAAGACUUUAAACACCUGCCUUAAACGAGCUCACAGAACUCAGGAAGAUGUGGAACCGUCUUCACGAUAUUGUUUCCCCAAGUGCACAGUCCAUUCUAAAUACCAAUCCACGUGGUAUACAGUCGUUCAUCUGAUAGAAAUUUGUUGAACAUCUGUCUCAAGAAAUGCUACUUUCUUUACUCAGAAUAAAAUGUGACGUUUCUGGAGGCCAGGAGGCUGCAGGUUCGGUUACUCAGACUCCGACCCUGCGAUGCGCAUCCCUGGUUCCUUUGCUGAGUCCACUCCCGCCUUUCUGCCGGCGUGAGGAGGUCCUUGCUCUCCACCACGCCUUCACCAGGCCUGAGUCGAGCCCGGUGGUUCU
rnacentral:lncRNA from 1 species